rnacentral:rRNA from 1 species
UACGGAGGGUGCGAGCGUUGUCCGGAAUCAUUGGGCGUAAAGGGCGCGUAGGUGGCCCGGUCAGUCAGUGGUGAAAGCGCGGGGCUCAACCCCGCGUCGGCCAUUGAUACUGCUGGGCUUGAGCACUGUAGAGGCAGGCGGAAUUCCGGGUGUAGCGGUGGAAUGCGUAGAGAUCCGGAAGAACACCGGUGGCGAAGGCGGCCUGCUGGGCAGUGGCUGACGCUGAGGCGCGACAGCGUGGGGAGCAAACAGG